AUUGAACGCUGGCGGCAGGCCUAUCACAUGCAAGUCGAACGAGUGGCGGACGGGUGAGUAAUGUCUGGGAAACUGCCCUAUGGAGGGGGAUAACUACUGGAAACAGUAGCUAAUACCGCAUCCCAUCGGCUGUGCCCAGAUGGGAUUUGCUAGUAGGUGGGGAAACGGCUCACCUAGGCGACGAUCCCUAGCUGGUCUGAGAGGAUGACCAGCAAGACUGGAACUGAGACACGGUCGAGACUCGUACGUGAGGAAGCAGUGGGGAAUAUUGCAAAAGGGGCGCAAGCCGGAUGAAGCCAUGCCGCGUGUAUGAAGAAGGCCUUCGGGUUGUAAAGUACUUUCAGAGAGGAGGCGUUACUCGCAGAAGAAGCACCGGCUAACUCCGUGCCAGCAGCCGCGGUAAUAC
rnacentral:rRNA from 1 species